rnacentral:rRNA from 1 species
AGUGAACGCUGGCGGUAGGCCUAACACAUGCAAGUCGAACGGCAGCACAGGAGAGCUUGCUCUCUGGGUGGCGAGUGGCGGACGGGUGAGGAAUACAUCGGAAUCUACUCUGUCGUGGGGGAUAACGUAGGGAAACUUACGCUAAUACCGCAUACGACCUACGGGUGAAAGCAGGGGACCUUCGGGCCUUGCGCGAUUGAAUGAGCCGAUGUCGGCUUAGCUAGUUGGCGGGGUAAAGACCCAACAAGGCGACGCUCCGUAGCUGGUCUGAGGGGAUGAGCAGCCACACUGGAACUGAGACAGGGGCCAGACACCUACGGGAGGCAGCAGUGGAGAAUAUUGGACAAUGGGCGCAAGCCUGUUCCAGCCAUACCGCGUGGGUGAAGAAGGCCUUCGGGUUGUAAAGCCCUUUUGUUGGGAAAGAAAUCCAGCUGGCUAAUACCCGGUGGGGGUGACGGUACCCAAAGAAUAAGCACCGGCUAACUUCGUGCCAGCAGCCGCCGUAA